GUAUUUAAACUUUUAAAUGCUUUCUUAGGGCAUUAAAGAUAGAUAUCAUUCAUGGACAUUCGUAUGUAAAAAUGACAUAGUCUCCAAAAGAGGAGACUACAAUAGUGCACAGGGGUGUGGAUAUGAAGGUCAAGGCGUGCACAUACUCCCGAGAGAGUCAGCAUCAACCUCGAUUCAAAUCAAUAAUGAUCCUUCCGCAGGUUCACCUACGGAAA
rnacentral:misc_RNA from 1 species